rnacentral:rRNA from 1 species
UACGUAGGGGGCAAGCGUUGUCCGGAAUUAUUGGGCGUAAAGAGCUCGUAGGUGGCUUGUCGCGUCUGCCGUGAAAGCCCAUGGCUUAACUGUGGGUCUGCGGUGGAUACGGGCAGGCUGGAGGCUGGUAGGGGCAAGCGGAAUUCCUGGUGUAGCAGUGAAAUGCGCAGAUAUCAGGAGGAACACCGGUGGCGAAGGCGGCUUGCUGGGCCAGUUCUGACGCUGAGGAGCGAAAGCGUGGGGAGCGAACAGG